UUAUCUGAGAGCUCCCUGUAAUGCUGAGCAAUUCAGAAAGAGAGGAGGCCCACUUGGAAAAAUCUUUUGGGGAAGGGUUUGAUGAGGAUGACGUGCAGAGUUUGAAGGGAAACUUGCAGCUUUUGGGAUCUCACUUGAAGAUUUCAGUGGUGGUGGCAAAGAGCUCAUGGGGGAGAAAAAUUAUAAAGAAUAAUCCAAAUUAUAAAUGAGUAUCCUGUCCAGGCCUGGGAUCUCUCGUGUUAGAAG